CCUACGGGAGGCAGCAGUGGGGGAUAUUGCACAAUGGGGGGAACCCUGAUGCAGCGACGCCGCGUGGGUGAAGAAGCGCCUCGGCGCGUAAAGCCCUGUCAGCAGGGAAGAAAAUGACGGUACCUGAAGAAGAAGCCCCGGCUAACUACGUGCCAGCAGCCGCGGUAAUACGUAGGGGGCACGCGUUAUCCGGAUUUACUGGGUGUAAAGGGGGCGCAGACGGCGAUGCAAGCCAGGAGUGAAAGCCUGGGGCCCAACCCCGGGACUGCUCUUGGAACUGCGUGGCUGGAGUGCAGGAGGGGCAGGCGGAAUUCCUGGUGUAGCGGUGAAAUGCGUAGAUAUCAGGAGGAACACCGGUGGCGAAGGCGGCCUGCUGGACUGCAACUGACGUUGAGGCCCGAAAGCGUGGGGAGCAAACAGGAUUAGAUACCCGGGUAGUC
rnacentral:rRNA from 1 species